AUUGAAUGCUGGCGGCAGGCCUAACACAUGCAAGUCGAACGAGUGGCGGACGGGUGAGUAAUGUCUGGUAAAGUGCCUGGUGGAGGGGGAUAACUACUGGACACGGUAACUAAUACCACAUACCAUCAGAUUUGCCCAGUUGGGAGUAGCUAGUUUGUGGGGUAACGGCUCACCAAGGCCACGAGCACUAGCUGGUCUGAGAGGAGAACCCGCCACACUGGAACUAAGCCACUGUCCAGACUCCUACGGGAGGCAGCAGUGGGGAAUAUUGCACAAUGGGCUCCAGCCUGAUGCAGCCAGGCCGCGUGUAUGAAGAAGGCCUUCGGGUUGUAAAGUACUUUCAGCUGGGAGGCGUUACCCGCAGAAGAAGCACCGGCGAACUCCGUGCCAGCAGCCGCGGUAAUAC
rnacentral:rRNA from 1 species